GCGCUGCUGAAGAGUCCCACAACAGAACGAAACGUCCGUUCAGUGC
rfam:Schistosoma mattheei strain Denwood, Zambia genome assembly, scaffold: SMTD_scaffold0002434